rnacentral:tRNA from 1 species
GGGGAUGUAGCUCAGUGGUAGAGCGCAUGCUUUGCAUGUAUGAG